rnacentral:lncRNA from 1 species
AAAGACAGAGCAGCAACACAACAGAAACUACACAAAGAAAAGUGCAAUCAAGUUGGAGGGACAGUACCAUAGUAAAGAAGGGUGUCAGGACCAGGGUCAACGCGGAAGAAACUACUGAUGCACAUAAUGGGACAUAAAAAGCUUUAGGUCACAGGAGGGGUGAGAUUCUGGAGGAGACUGGAGUGGUUGAGCUAGAUGGGAGCACCAUGCAGGCAACAGAAGUGAUAGCAUCGAUUGGGAUGAUGAAAUUGGUGCUGACGAGAGUGGUGCUGAUGAGACCUGGAGUCCCUCAAAGAUUCUGAUGAAGAGGAGUCUGACGAGUUUGAAGAUUCUGGGGACAGCAGCUUGGAUGCUGCAGUAGUUUAUGUGUCGGGGGGCUAGGGUCAGUCUGUUACAUCUGGAGUAUUUCUCUUGUCUUAUCCGGUGUCCUGUGUGAAUUUAAAUAUGCUCUCUCUAAUUCUCUCUUUCUUUCUUUCUCUCGGAGGACCUGAGCCCUAGGACCAUGCCUCAGGACUACCUGGCAUGAUGACUCCUUGCUGUCCCCAGUCCACCUGGCCGUGCUGCUUCUCCAGUUUCAACUGUUCUGCCUACGGCUAUGGAACCCUGACCUGUUCACCGGACGUGCUUGUUGCACCCUCGACAACUACUAUGAUUAUUAUUAUUUGACCAUGCUGGUCAUUUAUGAACAUUUUAACAUCUUGACCAUGUUCUGUUAUAAUAUCCACCUGGCACAGCCAGAAGAGGACUGGCCACCCCUCAUAGCCUGGUUCCUCUCUAGGUUUCUUGCUAGGUUUUGGCCUUUCUAGGGAGUUUUUCCUAGGGAGUUUUUCCUAGCCACCGUGCUUCUUUCACAUGCAUUGCUUGCUGUUUGGGGUUUUAGGCUGGGUUUCUGUACAGCACUUUGAGAUAUCAGCUGAUGUACGAAGGGCUAUAUAAAUAAAUUUGAUUUGAUUUGGACGAAGAACACAUUCCUUCACUUUGUGUCCGGUAUGUU